CGGUGUAACUCCUCCAGGCUAGAUACAGACAGCAGGACGGUAUAAACUCCAUCCAAAGCUAGAUACACACAGCAGGACCGUAUAGACUCCAUCCUAAGGGUCCCGAGGAAUUCAGGAGUUGGUCGGUGCACAGUCUUUGGUGAUUGAUUUAACGACCGCGCCAUUGACUGACGUUUCGAUCAUCGGUGCACUUUCCUCGCAUGGGCCCGACCACGACCGGUGAGCUGAUCUGUCUGUCGUGCUUGGAAGAUAGCGCCAUCCUCGGAAGGCGUGUUAUAGACAGGCAUACGGAGCAGUCGGCGCACUGGAUGAUAGUGCCUGCCCAUCUGGGCUCAUAUGGCGGUUGUUUUGUUGGCGAGUUCUGAUGUCACUACUUCGGUAGAGUCGUUAGACUCUGUUGGCAUUAUGGCAGUUCUCUAUGAUUGGCACUGGUAAGUCUGUGGUUGUGAAGUAGGUAGUCCACCUGACCCGUCUUGAAACACGGACCAAGGAGUCUAACAUGUGCGCGAGUCAUUGGGUUCACGAAACCUAAAGGCGCAGUGAAGGUAAAGAUCUGUUUUGGCAGAUUGAGGUGGGAUGCCGGGUUACGCGCCCGGCCGCACUACCGGCCCGUUCUAUAUGUAUCUCAUAGGAGCGGAGCAAGAGCGUACACGUUGGGACCCGAAAGAUGGUGAACUAUGCUUGCGCAGGUCGAAGCCAGAGGAAACUCUGGUGGAGGACCGCAGCGAUUCUGACGUGCAAAUCGAUCGUCAAACGUGAGUAUAGGGGCGAAAGACUAAUCGAACCAUCUAGUAGCUGGUUCCCUUCGAAGUUUCCCUCAGGAUAGCUGGCACUCGGGAAAUCAAACAGUUUUAUCCGGUAAAGCGAAUGAUUAGAGGUAUUGGGACGAAACUGCUCUCAACUUAUUCUCAAACAUUAAAUGGGUAAGACAGCAACUCGGUGUAAUCUCCAUCCAAGGCUAGAUACAGACAGCAGCCCGGUGUAAACUCCAUCCAAGGCUAGAUACAGACAGCAGGACGGUGUAAACUCCAUCCAAGGCUAGAUACAGACAGCAGGACGGUA
rnacentral:rRNA from 1 species